AGCGAACGCUAGCGGCGGGCCUAACACAUGCAAGUCGAGCGGAGGGAGCAAUCCUUCAGCGGCGGACGGGUGAGUAACGCGUAGGUAAUGUACCUUCUGGUGGGGAAUAACCGUGGGAAACCAUGGCUAAUACCGCAUAUCGUCCUUACGGAUGAAAGCCUUCGGGCGCCAGAAGAGCAGCCUGCGUCCCAUUAUUUAGUCCUAGUUGGUGAGGUAACGGCUCACCAAGGGUACGAUGGGUAGCUGGUCUGAGAGGAUGAUCAGCCACACUGGAACUGAGACACGGUCCAGACUCCUACGGGAGGCAGCAGUGGGGAAUAUUGCGCAAUGGGCGAAAGCCUGAUCCAGCCAUGCCGCGUGCAGGAAGAAGGCCUUCGGUUGUAAACUAGCUUUGUCUAGAGAAGAAAUACUUCUGGGUUAAUAACUCGGAGGAUGACGGUAUCUGAAGAAUAAGCACCGGCUAACUACGUGCCAGCAGCCGCGGU
rnacentral:rRNA from 1 species